rnacentral:rRNA from 1 species
GACGUAGGGCGCGAGCGUUGUCCGGAUUUAUUGGGCGUAAAGAGCUCGUAGGCGGCUCAUUGCGUCAACCGUGAAAUCCUGCUGCUCAACGGCAGGUCUGCGGUUGAUACGGGUGGGCUGGAGUUCGGUAGGGGAGACUGGAAUUCCUGGUGUAGCGGUGAAAUGCGCAGAUAUCAGGAGGAACACCAAUAGCGAAGGCAGCUCGCUGGGACGUUACUGACACUGAGGCGCGAAAGCGUGGGGAGCGAACAGG